rnacentral:rRNA from 1 species
AGCAUUAUACCGUGAAACUGCGAAUGGCUCAUUAAAUCAGUUAUCGUUUAUUUGAUAGUACCUUACUACUUGGAUAACCGUGGUAAUUCUAGAGCUAAUACAUGCUAAAAACCCCAACUUCGGGAGGGGUGUAUUUAUUAGAUAAAAAACCAAUGCCCUUCGGGGCUCCUUGGUGAUUCAUGAUAACUUCUCAGAUCGCAUGGCUUUACGCCGGCGACGGUUCAUUCAAAUUUCUGCCCUAUCAACUUUCGAUGGUAAGGUAUUGGCUUACCAUGGUUUCAACGGGUAACGGGGAAUUAGGGUUCGAUUCCGGAGAGGGAGCCUGAGAAACGGCUACCACAUCCAAGGAAGGCAGCAGGCGCGCAAAUUACCCAAUUCCGAUACGGAGAGGUAGUGACAAUAAAUACUGAUACAGGGCUCUUUUGGGUCUUGUAAUUGGAAUGAGUACAAUUUAAACCUCUUAACGAGGAACAAUUGGAGGGCAAGUCUGGUGCCAGCAGCCGCGGUAAUUCCAGCUCCAAUAGCGUAUAUUAAAGUUGUUGCAGUUAAAAAGCUCGUAGUUGAACCUUUGGCCUGGCUGGCAGGUCCGCCUCACCGCGUGCACUUGUCCGGCCGGGCCUUUUCUUCUGGAGAACCGCAUGCCCUUCACUGGGUGUGUUGGGGACCAGGACUUUUACUUUGAAAAAAUUAGAGUGUUCAAAGCAGGCCUUUGCUCGAAUACGUUAGCAUGGAAUAAUAGAAUAGGACGUGCGGUCCUAUUUUGUUGGUUUCUAGGACCGCCGUAAUGAUUAAUAGGGACAGUCGGGGGCAUCAGUAUUCAAUUGUCAGAGGUGAAAUUCUUGGAUUUAUUGAAGACUAACUACUGCGAAAGCAUUUGCCAAGGAUGUUUUCAUUAAUCAGUGAACGAAAGUUAGGGGAUCGAAGACGAUCAGAUACCGUCGUAGUCUUAACCAUAAACUAUGCCGACUAGGGAUCGGGCGGUGUUUCUAUUGUGACCCGCUCGGCACCUUACGAGAAAUCAAAGUGUU